rnacentral:piRNA from 1 species
UGCCUUUUGGACAAGAACUACGUCAAACCAC